AUUGAACGCUGGCGGCAGGCCUAACACAUGCAAGUCGAACGAGUGGCGGACGGGUGAGUAAUGUCUGGGAAACUGCCUGAUGGAGGGGGAUAACUACUGGAAACGGUAGCUAAUACCGCAUACCAUCAGAUGGGCACAGAUGGGAUUAGCUUGUUGGUGGGGUAACGCCUCACAAAGGCGACGAUCCCUAGCUGGUCUGAGAGGAUGACCAGCCACACUGGAACUGGGACACGGCCCAGACUCCUACGGCAGGCAGCAGUGGUGAAUAUUGCACAAUGGGCUCAAGCCUGAUGCAGCCAUGCCGCGUGUAUGAAGAAGGCCUUGGGGUUGGAAAGUACUUUCAGCGGGGAGGCGUUACCCGCAGAAGAAGCACAGGCUAACUCCGUGCCAGCAGCCGCGGUAAUUC
rnacentral:rRNA from 1 species